GUUACAUCCCACAGAUUGCCUCCCCUCUGCUUUGGGGAUAAUUGGUAUCUACUCAAUUAUCUCCAAACUAAAACUUAUACUUUUUUAUGCAUUGUUAUAACUUUAUGAUUUUUCAUCCUACAGGAAUAAAACUUAUAUUUUUUUGAACAACACAACUUGGGGACAAACAGAUUCAAAAUUCGGUCUAUUUCUGCCUUGAAAAAUAAC